UACGUAGGGCGCAAGCGUUAUCCGGAAUUAUUGGGCGUAAAGAGCUCGUAGGCGGUUUGUCGCGUCUGCUGUGAAAACCUAAGGCUCAACCUUGGGCUUGCAGUGGGUACGGGCAGACUAGAGUGCGGUAGGGGUGACUGGAAUUCCUGGUGUAGCGGUGGAAUGCGCAGAUAUCAGGAGGAACACCGAUGGCGAAGGCAGGUCACUGGGCCGCAACUGACGCUGGAGGAGCGGAAAGCAUAGGGGAGCGAACAGG
rnacentral:rRNA from 1 species